GAAAUUAUGGCUACCUCUGCUGUGUCACAUAGGUUGCCAAGGAAGUGGGAGAAAGCCAGCAGCCACAAGCCUCACCCAGCUCCCAUGGAGCCUGCAGCCUGCAGCUUGAAAGGCCAGCCUCAUUCCCACUGUGCCCCCACAACAGCACCGAAGCACCGAGUUUAUUUCCAGGCAGGCAGUGAGCAGGGCUGAGAAAUUGCCCCAGGCUACAAGCCUCCCAGCUGAGAAAGCAAGCAGACUCACAGUUCCUUGGCUGUCCCAUGCAGCCUGCAGCAGCAAUCCACCCCCUUUAAAGUGUCUGUGGAUUCUUUCAGCUUUUUUGGUAUGUUCCUAUGGUAGUUCUUGGGGCAAAAUUUCACAGUGUGAGUCUCCAAAUGCUGCUUUGUCUGUUCAAGUGGGAACUGCAAGUUAGUCCUGCUUCCUAUCUGCCAUUUUUUCCCGGUCUGUCUACAUUUUUAUACAGUUCAUCUUUUACAUGCUAGUAAAAGUAAUACUGUGCUUUAAAGUUUUUUUUGUUUGUUUGUUUGCUUGCUUGUUUGUUUUUAAAUAGGAAGGAGAAUCUGAUGUUUUUUGUUUGUUUGUUUGAGACAGAGUCUUGCUCUGACACCCAGGCUGGAGAGCAGUGGUACAAUCUUGGCUCACUGCAACCUCUGUCUCCCAGGUUCAAGCAAUUCUCCUGUCUCAGCCUCCCGAGUAGCUGGGAUUACAGUCAUGUGCCCCUGUGUCCAGAAUUGGUUCCUUCUGGUGGGUUCUUGGUCUUGCUGUCUUCAAGAAUGAAGCCGUGGACCCUCGUCAUGAAUGUUACAGUUCUUAAAGAUGAAGAGAACAGCAUCAGGGCACAUUGAGGCUCAGAAAUUUAUAUUCCAAGAAGAGGUGCACAGGAACAGAGCAGAUCCAAAGCAGACAACCACCUGGAAGCAGUCAUAACAACAGCAAUAGCAAAUCAAUGCUGAUAAAAGAAAUCAAGUACAGAGAGUUUUAAGGACAUUGUCCAAAGUUGUACAAGACUCCAACACUAAGCAUUCACCUGGAGAUAACCUACAGAGAUACUCUGUGUUACCCACAACUAGUCUGUUGACUAAGUUGGUGAAUAUAUUUGGGAAAAGCCCAUGUGGAAGAAUGGAAGCCUGCAUUAUCUUUCUCAGAGACAGACAGGAAGGUGACUCUAUGGAAGACAUCAGCGAUAAACUAGGAAGGAGUGACACGAUGGUGCACAAUUUGGAUAUGUAACCCUGCACAUGAGAAAUGCUUUAUAAAUGCCACAUAUCUCUGUUCUGCAGCAGUGACUGCAUGCCAGGACAGCCUUCCACUCCAGAAGGCCCUUGCCAACACAAAUAAAGAAGGGAAAUGACAUCUUACUUGUUGAAGUAAAGAAACUGCAGUGUAAACAAUAACAACAAUCAUGCAAUCAGAGAAGUGAUUAAGCAGGAAGAAUUCAUUCUAAAUGCCUGACCAUGGUGAACUUACAAAAUAUGACUGUUGCCUCUCGCCAGACAAAAAGAAACUUUGAAAUAACUGUCUUCAACAUUUCUGCUUUAAAAGUCCUUUUAUAACCAUCUGUUUUCU
rnacentral:lncRNA from 10 species